GACAGAGGUGGCAAGCGUUGUCCGGAAUUACUGGGCGUAAAGAGCUCGUAGGCGGUUUGGUAAGUCGGGUGUGAAAUCUCCACGCUCAACGUGGAGGGGCCACUCGAUACUGCCAUGACUCGAGUCCGGUAGAGGAGUGUGGAAUUCCCGGUGUAGCGGUGAAAUGCGCAGAUAUCGGGAGGAACACCCGUAGCGAAGGCGGGUUGCUGGGCCGACACUGACGCUGAUGCGCGAAAGCCAGGGGAGCGAACAGG
rnacentral:rRNA from 1 species